UUUAGCUAAAGAACUCAAAUGAACAACAAGAAUUCAGAGCACUAAUUUUCAAUGAAAAGAUGAAAUCUUUGAUCACUAUGCAAAAGUUAUUACAACCCAAAACUUCAUUUGAACCCAACAACAUCAGAAGCAACAAUCUUUACCAUUAUUUUCUUCAAUGUCGAUCAAUAGUAAAGGUUAGGCUUAAGUGGGUAAAGAACCGCAGCCUAGACCACAUAAUUGACCGAGAGACAGAUCUUAAAGCAGCUUGUCUUUUAAAGGAUGCAAUCAAGCGUUCUCCUACUGGCUUUCUCACUGCUAAGUCCGUCGCUGACUGGCAAAAACUUCUUGGCCUCACUGUUCCUGUUCUUCGCUUUUUGCGCAGGUGAUACGGCAUCUGACUCGUGCGAGUGUCAACUGAUGUCUGUAGAGAGGAUAUGUAGGAUGGUUAAGACAAUAAUAUUCUCAAAUUUAUCAAUCUGUAGGUACCCAACUCUUUUUAGUGAAUUUCCUCAUGCCCGUUACACUAAUUUGCCUUGUUUCCGAUUAACGGACACUGCACUUCUUCUAGAUUCACAAGAACAGAGCAUACACCAGAAUUAUGAGAGGGAUACUGUGGAGAGGCUCUGUAGACUGCUUAUGAUGAUGAAAAGUAGGACAGUACCACUUCAAUCGCUACAUCCUUUGAAGUGGGACCUGGGAUUGCCAGAUAAUUUUGAGAGAAUACUGAUUCCAAAGCACCCUGAUUAUUUUCAAUAUGUGAGGGCAUCGAAUGGUGUUGGGUGCUUAAGGCUUGCGCAAUGGCGAGAGGAGUUUGCAGUUUCUGCAUUGCAGCGGAGUAGUGAAAGCAAAGAAAUGGGUAAUAAGUACCAGCAAUUCAAAAGGGGGCAAACCACUUUGGCUUUCCCAAUGAGUUUUCCAAGGGGGUAUGGAGCACAAAAGAAGGUAAGAGCAUGGAUGGAGGAAUUUCAGAAGUUACCUUAUAUUUCACCAUAUGAGGACUCGAGACAGAUCGACCCAAAUAGUGAACUCAUGGAGAAGCGAGUUGUUGGGCUCUUGCAUGAGCUUUUAAGCCUGACUAUUCAUAAGAAAACCAAAAGGAAUUACCUGAGGAGCGUGAGAGAGGAGUUGAUUCUUCCACAUAAGUUUACUCGCUUAUUUACAAGGUAUCCAGGGAUUUUCUACCUCUCAUUGAAGUGCAAGACAACAACUGUUGCUCUUAGAGAAGGUUAUCAACGGGGAAAGCUGGUCAAUCCACAUCCUAUUGCUCGUCUAAGGGACAAGUUUUAUCACGUAAUGAGAACUGGACUUCUUUAUCGGAAUAAAGGUGAAAACGCGAUACCUCAAGACAUUUUGCUAAAUGAUGUUGAGGAUGAGACUGUGUUGGAUGAAUCUGAGGAGGAAGAGGAUGAAACAGGUGAUGACUGCUAUGAGGUAACCUCUGAGAGUGAGGAUGGGUCUGAUGAAGAUUAGUUUGUACCCAACCACAUCAACAAUCUUGCUCCAUAAUGAGGUGAGACAGAAAGAUUCCCCAAUACUGAGGUUUUUACAUAAAUUAUGGGUUUCAAGCAGCAAAUCAAGUCAACUAAUGAGAGGAUCAUAUUUAAGGCUGCAGGAAACUAUCUUACAAGUUUUCGUAAAUUUCCAAGGAAAGAGAACCGCCGAAUCAAUCAAGGUUUGAGAGAAGAAGCAAUUGGUGAUAUUGGUUUGUGAUGGUGUAAAUGAAAGAUCACAUGAAUAAAUGCUAUAUACUGUGGAGUCCAGAUAUUGCUGUAUCUGUGGGAGCGCCAAUCUUGGUUGAAUAAUGUCGGCCAUUCCAAAGUCCUCUUCGAACAAUAAGCAGGUGUAGUGUCUUUCUCAGUCAUGGUUUGCUUCAAUGAUCCUCAUGUGAUGGGCAAAACUUAGCUAUUAGGUUGGAUAUGGUUGGAACAAAGAUUGCUCUACUGUGCUCGUUUUCAUGACUGCUUUAUUGUAAUGUUCAUUGCUGAUAUCAACAGUUUCGGAAUCCAAUUUUCUAUUAGCUUUUCAUUAUGUACAAGAAUUGAAGGCUAAUGAAUAUUGCUUAUUUUGGAUAAGUUCAUUGGAAAUCUUCAAGAUAUUGAUUGGUUCA